UAGUUUCUUAUGCAGUUUUAGAGAUGCUCAACAACAGAGCAUAGAAUGUAGAGUGAAUGUAUUGAACAAUACUUUCAAUUACAUGAAUGAAGUUUAUGUUGGCUUUGAUGAGGAUAUAGUACCAUUGAGAAUAAGCUUUUAAAGUAAAUUUGACUGUUAUA